rnacentral:tRNA from 1 species
ACCUGGGUGGCUUAGUUGGUUAAGCGUCUGACUUCGGCUCAGGUCAUGAUCUUGCGGUUUGUGGGUUUGAGCCCCACGUCGGGCU